GAUGAAGAACGUAGCGAAAUGCGAUACGUAAUGUGAAUUGCAGAAUUCAGUGAAACAUCGAAUCUUUGAACGCAUAUUGCGCUCUCUGGUAUUCCGGAGAGCAUGCUUGUUUGAGUAUCAGUAAACACCUCAACUUCCAUAUCUUUUUUGAAAUGGGAGUUGGACUUGAGUGAUCCCAACGCUUUUCCUCACCGAAAAGUGGCGGGUUACUUGAAAUGCAGGUGCAGCUGGACUUUUCUCUGAGCUAUAAGCAUAUCUAUUUAGUCUGCCUAAAAAACAGAUUAUUACCUUUGCUGCAGCUAACAUAAAGGAGAUUAGUUCUUGUGCUGACUGAUGCAGGAUUCACAAAGACAGGCUUCGGCCGACUUUGUAAACUCGAUCUCAAAUCAAGUAAGACUACCCGCUGAACUUAAGCAUAUCAAUAAGCGGAGGA
rnacentral:misc_RNA from 1 species